rnacentral:rRNA from 1 species
UACGGGAGGCAGCAGUGGGGAAUCUUGCGCAAUGGGCGAAAGCCUGACGCAGCCAUGCCGCGUGAAUGAUGAAGGUCUUAGGGUUGUAAAAUUCUUUCACCGGGGACGAUAAUGACGGUACCCGGAGAAGAAGCCCCGGCUAACUUCGUGCCAGCAGCCGCGGUAAUACGAAGGGGCUAGCGUUGCUCGGAAUUACUGGGCGUAAAGGGAGCGUAGGCGGACAUUUAAGUCAGGGGUGAAAUCCCGGGGCUCAACCUCGGAAUUGCCUUUGAUACUGGGUGUCUUGAGUAUGAGAGAGGUGUGUGGAACUCCGAGUGUAGAGGUGAAAUUCGUAGAUAUUCGGAAAGAACACCAGUGGCGAAGGCGACACACUGGCUCAUUACUGACGCUGAGGCUCGAAAGCGUGGGGAGCAAACAGGGAUUAGAUACC